rnacentral:tmRNA from 1 species
GGGGGCGUAAAGGUUUCGACGGGGGUCUUGAAGUGUGAUAAGCGAGCGGAGAACGGCCUGAUCUCCAUAACCUCGGCCACGUUUAAAUAUAAACGCUAGAAAUAACAUUACUGUAAGCAGAAACGCUGUACAGGUAGCUGCUUAAGUCAGCUACUGCCCCCCGCAUGAGUACCACGGCCUGCGGCUGGGCAUCGACUUAGUGGUGAACGUCCCGAAGGCGUGUCCGUGCCUUCCGGAUGUAUACGGACUACUCCGCUGCGGAGCCCGUUUAUCGGCGCCGCUCCGGGGGAAUUUAAGUAGGUAAAAUACGCUCGUAGAAAGUUGCAUGAACGGACUUUCGGACAGGGGUUCAAUUCCCCUCGCCUCCACCA